CCCUUAGAUGUUCUGGGCUGCACACGCGCUACACUGAAGGGAUCAGCGUGUUCUUUUCCUGGUCCGAAGGGAUCGGGUAACCCGCUGAACCCCCUUCGUGGUAGGGAUCGGAGCUUGCAAUUAUUCUCCGUGAACCAGGAAUUCCCAGUAAGCGCAAGUCAUAAGCUUGCGUUGAUUACGUCCCUGCCCUUUGUACACACCGCCCGUCGCUACUACCGAUUGGACGUUUUAGUGAGGAUUUUGGACUGAGCCAAUGGUGGUUCACACCACUGUUGUGCAUGGAAAGAUCUCCAAACUUGAGCGUUUAGAGGAAGUAAAAGUCGUAACA
rnacentral:rRNA from 1 species